CCUUGCAGCCGCAUCACUCUCUCUCCCCGAUCUCUCUCAUUCUCACCUUCUCCCUCUGCCAGCGCCGGAAACUCCAUCUCCGGCCACCAGUUCUUGUUACCGCCACCACCAAUCGACGCCGCACCCAAAUCCGACCCAAGCCCGAGUCUCACCGUCGACAUGCAUCGUCUCCAGCCUCCGCACGGGUUCCUCGAAGCAGCGACGCCACUGCUCGUUGGCCUUCUCUGAUUUCCGGUCAUCACCUCGCCACAACGACGCCGUCGCCUGACUCAGCAAGCAACGAGGAGCAAAACCCAGAAGUUCUGCCACCCACCGAAGCCAGGACACGCUGUGCUAGCUCGCCGGAAACCGUAGCUCUGCAUGUCGUCGUUUUUCAAUUCCUAGUCAUGUCUGAGUUACACGACCACCAUGGAUGAACCCAGCACCUCAAAGAGCAUAACCCUCUAACUUCGACCUCCCAUUCCGGCGAGAGCCGCCGUACGCGCCGCCGCUGUGCAUCGCCGCCGGACUCCCAGAUUUUCUUAAAUAGGUAAUUUCGUCGUCUCUCUCUUUGGUUAAAGCCUUUGGGUCUUUAAGAAUCAAAAACCCUGAUCUACUGCUCCUUGAUUUGGAAUUGAGGUUAACGGAUUUCUGCAUUUUGGAGUUUUGGAAAGGAAGGAGCUACUGCGUCAGUUUUUGUUGAGACUGAAAGAAAAGGUGUUGAAACUGUUGUCGAAGGUGGAUUGCAGCAGCGACGACUUGAUUCCCAAUCUGGAAAAGAAGAGCGGACUCGAGUGUGUGCACUUGGAUUUGGACACAUGAUCGAAAGUCGGGAACGAACCCGAAUGUGGACGAGCACUCCAAUUUCCAGGUAGGGUGAGCUGUCCCUUCCUUGUUAGAGGCUUUUCGUUAUAUGUGGAAUGCUCUAGUAUAAUAUUAUGUUGCCUGCAAGUACGUUUUUGGUUGUUCAUUAGUCGAUGCCUCGUGAUACAUGUGUUUUCAGAACUAAUAAUUGCAAAUUGUGAAAACCGAGGCUAGACUUGCAUGUUGAGAUACUGUACCCUUGUAUGUGUGUACUUGUGACCUGAAAGUGAAUGGGACCUAGACGCGUAGAUUCCUAGGGAUCCCACGGUGUCGAUAACCGUGAACCUCCGGAGGGGGCCGUGCUCCUAUGUUUGUCGAGAAAAAGUGAGUAUAGACAGUGAACCAGUCAUAGGAGACUCAGGGCCAGGAAAUGGACACUUUCGCUACUUGUAGUCGGAAGUACUACAGAGUAGUUGGCCGGUUCUCGUACUCAGGACGAACCAGGUCGGUCACUGAUUUAUUUUACUUUAGCCGGCAGUGUGCAGGUUUCGAGCAUGUGGUCGGGAAGCGUACAGGGGAGGCACAUGGCACGGCUUGGCGCAUUUCUCUUUAGUUUUAUCAAAAGAAGGUUUUGGUCCUUAAUCGGAUUUUGUAGUAGCUUAUUUAUUUACUUUUUAUUUAUUUCCUACUCGUUUACAAAAAUUCCGGGAGACCCGUAACCCUGGGGCGCGUCUCCCAUACUUGUCGUUACUUAGAGAUCAGUUUUAUUUUCCAAAUUGGGCUCCGAUCGCAAGCCCAAAACUCUUAGCCCAUUUCGAAUUCCGCUUUUGAAAAUGUGUUGUUAGGUUGCUAGAAUGAUUUGUCCAAGAAAGUGUUUUGUAAACCAACAACCUAAACUCAAAAGGCCUUGCGGUUUCGGGUUGAUGAGCUAUCGAGAUGCCAUUCGUGACAUGUCGAUUCCUCAUUGGCUCGGAGUCGCGGCGCUGUGGGACCCCCUCUCGGGUCACUA